rnacentral:misc_RNA from 1 species
GAUGAAGAACGUAGCGAAUUGCGAUAAGUAGUGUGAAUUGCAGAAUUCAGUGAAUCAUCGAAUCUUUGAACGCACAUUGCGCCCUUUGGUAUUCCAAAGGGCAUGCCUGUUCGAGCGUCAUUUGUACCCUCAAGCUUUGCUUGGUGUUGGGCGUCUUGUCUCUAGCUUUGCUGGAGACUCGCCUUAAAGUAAUUGGCAGCCGGCCUACUGGUUUCGGAGCGCAGCACAAGUCGCACUCUCUAUCAGCAAAGGUCUAGCAUCCAUUAAGCCUUUUUUUCAACUUUUGACCUCGGAUCAGGUAGGGAUACCCGCUGAACUUAAGCAUAUCAAUAAGCGGAGGA